ensembl:snRNA U4 U4 spliceosomal RNA
AGCUUUGCACAGUGGCAGUAUCAUAGCCAAUCAGGUUUAACCUAGGUGUAAUUAUUGCUAAUUGAAAACUCUAAGAUAAAUGAUAAAGAGUUUUUUUAAAAAAAUAAAUGGAAAAGAAAGUGUGGUCU